rnacentral:tRNA from 1 species
CGGCACGUAGCUCAGCUGGUUAGAGCACCACCUUGACAUGGUGGGGGUCGUUGGUUCGAGUCCAAUCGUGCCUACCA